UUGUAGCUUCAGUUUCAAAGCUGUCCUAACUUUCCAUUUUUACUUCUCUGCAAAAAAUGUUUCUCUUUUAAAAGUACUACAGUACCUCAUUUAUUUUCUUCCUCCUUUCCUUCUUCCCUGAUCAUAUGCAACAGCAGAAACAGCUUUUGCUAGCUUUCUCUGUGCUGGCAAGAAGCCCGAAGAUCCAGCUGACAUAAACCUCAAGUCAGCAAUUCCAACGUGAAGAAUGUCCUUUUCAGAGCCCCCAUUUCACAGUCUCCCUGUCACGGAGCAUCUCAGCAGCACCACACAGAAGAGCCUUGCACUGCCCUUCCUUCCAAGGGAAAGGAUUUUCCUGUGAGAAACAAAUGUCACAUUGCUGAUCUGUUUGGAUGCCAAUAGUCCAAACCUAUCCUCCAUGUGAAGCAAAGCUCUCAUCUACCUGCUACCAGAAGAGUACUGCGCUCAGAUUUUUUUUUUCCUGAACCAUUUCAUUUGGAACUAGCUUUAGAGCAUCGAUUUUCUGGUCACUAACAGAGCUGCUAUUUACAUUUUUUAGAUUAAGAUGGAUGCAACUGUUUUGGGUAACUGAAGACCUAAACUAGACUAAAUCUCAAAAUGCAAACCAAACAUCAUUUUGAAAACAUACCUACUUUCUAUCGGGUCCUGCAAAGCUCAUAUGUUUCGGUUACUGUAUUUGAUGUUUUGCUCUGAGAGGGAGAGAAAAGCAAGUGAGAAUACUCCAUAUUUCUUCUGCAUCUAUACAGAGAGCAGGGCACAGUGACUCUGGCAGAAGCAUCCAGAUAUGGUGAUAUUAAACACACACAGCUGUUUCUGAAAUUACUGAAAGUGGUUUUGCAUAAGAGAAGAAAUAUUCCUGGCAAUUCCCACCUAAUUAUUCAUGGAAAUAAAAGUCACCAGCAGGACAAGAGAAGGAAAAAACGCUCUGCAGUUGAGCAGCAAAAGUCCCAGGAGAUGUGUCUGCACAGACAGUUGGGACCAAAAACUUUCUUCCCCUCAAACACAGAUCAGAGCUGUUGUUUUUUUCCAGUGAUCAGAGAGACCAAAAAACCUUUAGCCUCUGGGCUGGAUCAUGUCCAAGGCUGCUGAGCCUUGGGUGACUUGCUGACAGGCUUUGGAAGUGCUUGGGAAGAGAGAUGCCACCUCUCUUCUCAGGCUCUGCAGAGGCCAGAAGACACACCACAAUUGUGCUGUGAAGACAGAAAAGGAACCAUUUGGACAAGAGCAUCAGCACACGGCACCAGGCAGCUGUGCGACUGCUGCUCACAAAGGGGCGAGGCACCAAGCAGGGAUUCUGCUGGGAAGCACGGGCCCCAGGGAGACACUGACAUGGACACAGGACCUUCAGUUUGGCUGAGUGACGUGGCUUAGGGGAAUUUCAAAUGUCAGCUUUUAUCUCAGCAGGUGAGCGCAAGAUGUAUCCUGCUGGGCCUGGGAAGUUUGGUGAAGUAUUAAUAUGGGUGUUUGAAGCAAAUAACUCCCAUUUUCUAGGAACCAUUGUAAGGAUUCUAAUGGGACAGACAUCCAGUACUCUGUUUUUAACUAGAAAGUUCUCCUUUUAGAGAUUAAUCCAGAAUGAAAUUUCACUGUUGCCAUUUUAAGUUCUGCCUACUUAUUGGCUACUACUUCUAAUGCUCGAUGCCUGCAAUCAGGCUGUUAAAAUUUAAUGCACAGUAUAUUAUACAUCUGUGUACCUCUGAAUAAGCAACUUUUCAUUGUCUUAUGUAUAGAGUUCCACUUAUUAGUAAAUUUCAGAAAAUAUUUUAACAGGAUGUAACCAGUAUCAAUUAAAUCGUGGCUUUAUUUUCCACAAACAGAAUGCUCUAUACUUUCAAUUUGAAAUUGUGAAAAUAUAAAUAUACAUUUUAAGACCUAUGCAAACAUUUAAAAAGUUUAAUCUAAGGUGAUUAAUCUGAGAAAACUGGAAUCUUUAUCAAAGUUGCAGAAAUUACCUGAGCAAUAUUUGUUCACUUGCCUGUAAAUAUGUAAAUAUGAGCUAGGUAUUGAUUUUGGAAGAAUUAUUAUAGAUCUGCAUCAGUCUGAGUAGGGAAUUUAGACCUUAUUAUCCAGUGUAAUGGGAAGGAGUCAGAAUAAUUUUCUAUAGCUGAAAAUGCUUUCUUUUUCCCAUUUAGUUUUUGGCAAUUGACAAAAUUUAUUUUAAUUCAUCACAAAUGUCAUUGACAUUUUGGUAGAAAGCCAAGACUUUUUCUUUGAACAUCUUGUGCUCAAGUGUCACAUCUGGUAAAACUAAUAUUUUUCAAGUCUUGCUACACGUCACUUAGUUUCUGAUUUAUGAUAUACAAAAAAAAAUCUAUAUUUGGGGGGAAAAAAGUCUAGAAAAAUCUAGUGCCAUGUUCUAGUUCACAUGGUGGUGCUUGGUCAAAGGUUGGAUGUGUUCUCAGAGAUCUUUUCCAAGCUAGUUGGUUCUCUGACUGAUUCUGUGAAAAAGACUGCCAAAAGUCACCAUUUAACCAAACUUCUAAACCAAAGGCUACAAUUUUUCUCUGAAUUCAGUCAGAACAAACAAGUCUUUUAAAAAACGCUGGGAUUUUCUCUGCACUACAAGAAUUGGAAGUAUUACAGUGCUCCCAUUUCAUAGGUGCCCACAGCAACAGGAAUGAAAUUGAAAGACUGACAAUGUCUAUGUCAGUGGUGAUCUCAAGAGAAUUAAUCCUGGAAAUAAAAUGAUGAAGAAUUAAUUUUUAAAU